rnacentral:rRNA from 1 species
GUAGGUGGCAAGCGUUGUCCGGAAUUAUUGGGCGUAAAGCGCGCGCAGGUGGUUCGUUUAAGUCUGAUGUGAAAGACCCCCGGGCUCAACCGGGGAGGGUCACUGGAAACUGGGGAACUUGAGUGCAGGAGAGGAAAGUGGAAUUCCACGUGUAGCGGUGAAAUGCGUAGAUAUGUGGAGGAACACCAGUGGCGAAGGCGACUUUCUGGCCUGUAACUGACACUGAGGCGCGAAAGCGUGGGGAGCAAACAGGAUUAGAUACCCUGGUAGUCCACGCCGUAAACGAUGAGUGCUAAGUGUUGGGGGGUUUCCGCCCCUCAGUGCUGCAGCUAACGCAUUAAGCACUCCGCCUGGGGAGUACGGUCGCAAAGACUG